CGCCAGCAUCCUAGCCGAAGCGCGGACCUCAGUCCCGGCUGGCCGUAUUACACCCUGGGCUAUAACACCUCCACCGAAGUGGAGGCCACAUUCCCAGAGCCUUUAUCCGGCCGCCGAAACUGAUGCUGGCCUGUCCAAACUGAGUAAACCGGUCAGAAGACCGGCCGAACAGUUUAAACAAGUCUGAUUGCAAGCGCUUCCCUUUCAACAAUUUCACGUGCUUUUUAACUCUCUUUCCAAAGUGCUUUUCAUCUUUCGAUCACUCUACUUGUGCGCUAUCGGUCUCUCGCCAAUAUUUAGCUUUAGAAGAAAUUUACCUCCCAUUUAGAGCUGCAUUCCCAAACAACUCGACUCGUCGAAGGAGAUUUACAUAGGGUGCCAUUUCCUGUCACAUACGGGAUUCUCACCCUCUAUGACGUCCUGUUCCAAGGAACUUAGACAGGCGGCUUCCCCAAAUCAUCCUCUACAAAUUACAAUGCGAACCCGAAGGCUAGCUUUCAAAUUUGAGCUGUUGCCGCUUCACUCGCCGUUACUAGGGCA
rnacentral:rRNA from 1 species